UGGGGAAUCUUCCGCAAUGGACGAAAGUCUGACGGAGCAACGCCGCGUGAGUGAUGACGGCCUUCGGGUUGUAAAGCUCUGUUAAUCGGGACGAAAGGCCUUCUUGCGAAUAGUUAGAAGGACUGACGGUACCGGAAUAGAAAGCCACGGCUAACUACGUGCCAGCAGCCGCGGUAAUACGUAGGUGGCAAGCGUUGUCCGGAAUUAUUGGGCGUAAAGCGCGCGCAGGCGGAUUGGUCAGUCUGUCUUAAAAGUUCGGGGCUUAACCCCGUGAUGGGAUGGAAACUGCCAAUCUAGAGUAUCGGAGAGGAAAGUGGAAUUCCUAGUGUAGCGGUGAAAUGCGUAGAUAUUAGGAAGAACACCAGUGGCGAAGGCGACUUUCUGGACGAAAACUGACGCUGAGGCGCGAAAGCCAGGGGAGCGAACGGGAUUAGAUACCCCGGUAGUCCUGGCCGUAAACGAUGGGUACUAGGUGUAGGAGGUAUCGACCCCUUCUGUGCCGGAGUUAACGCAAUAAGUACCCCGCCUGGGGAGUACGACCGCAAGGUUG
rnacentral:rRNA from 1 species